CUUCUAAUAGAAAACAAACCGAGGGGAAAAGUCUUAAUGGUAAAGGGACAAAAAAGAAGAUUAACAUGGCCCCUGCACAAGGAUGACACGCAAAAUCGUGAAGCCUUCCAAGACUUU
rnacentral:misc_RNA from 13 species